GAUGAAGUAAAAAAUGUAAGGACACAAAGCUGCUGUGUAAAAGGAGCAACCUGAAUUAUUUCUGCUAUUAGUUUGUCUUUUACUAGAAAAUGUGAAUAGGUUUAAGCUGUUAAUACCAGUACAUUUUUACUGCAAGAGAGACUAUUUCUGAGGUCCUAAAUGUGGCGGUGACCAUAUGGUGUGGCAUUUCCUCCUUGUUGAGGUUUGGCAAGGAAACCUAUGACCACUGAUUGAAAGGGAGCCAUGGAGAACUACCACAGGUCAAAAGGUGAAUCUAACUCCUUACUUCAUCCAUGCUACUUCAGUCACACUUGGAUUUGGGAGUCCAUCAUCUAUGUUUUAUUCAGAGCUUGAACAUUGUGCAGCAUGAAGGGGUGCUACACUGUCCUCC